CAGUAGCCGCGGUAAUACGGAGGGGGCUAGCGUUGUUCGGAAUUACUGGGCGUAAAGCGCACGUAGGCGGCUUGGUAAGUUAGAGGUGAAAGCCUGGAGCUCAACUCCAGAAUUGCCUUUAAGACUGCCGAGCUAGCAGGUGAGAGAGGUAAGUGGAAUUCCGAGUGUAGAGGUGAAAUUCGUAGAUAUUCGGAAGAACACCGGUGGCGAAGGCGGCUUACUGGCUCAUACUGGACGCUGAGGUGCGAAAGCGUGGGGAGCAAACAGGAUUAGAUACCCGUGUAGUCCCUGUCUCUUAUAC
rnacentral:rRNA from 1 species